UACAGAGGUCCCAAGCGUUGUUCGGAUUCACUGGGCGUAAAGGGUGUGUAGGUGGCCGGGUUAAGUCUGACGUGAAAUCCGUCCGAGCUCAACUCGGAAACUGACGUCGGAUACUCUCCGGGCUAGAGGAUCGGAGGGGACGACUGGAAUUCUCGGUGUAGCAGUGAAAUGGCGUAGAUAGUCGAGAGGAACACCAGUGGCGAAGGCGAGUCUCUGGACGAAUUCCUGACACUGGAGGCAACGAAAGCCCAGGGGAGCAAACGGG
rnacentral:rRNA from 1 species